GUCUGGAGUAAAUCCGCUGAAGUCAGAAUCUGGCCCAGUGGAGCCACAUGUGGGAGCACUUUCAGUUUACAUUUCUGCAACCACUCAAGAGAUUGCUGUAAAGAAAACAAACAAAAAUGGACUGGCUGGCUCAGAAGCCCCAGAGCUAGACACGCAUCAAGAGACAGGCCGCCGCACUCUGAAGCAUUGCCGCCUAACUAGACAAAGGAUGGGGAGAAAGGGCUACAACAUACAAACAGAAGAUCAGGGACUGAAUUGCAGCAAGAGUAAGGGCCUGACUCAAUGAAUAUUGAAGGCUUCCCAGUGGCUUUGGAGCGAGCCCAUCAGGAUUCCUUAAGCUCACACACGCAGCAGAUGGAAGAGCCAGGAGCUGAACACGGUUGUUCUGAAUCACAGCUUAGGGCUUUAACCACAAGGCCAUGCAGCUCCAUGGAAUCUAUGCUGCCCAGGCUUUUUCCAGAUGCCUCUGCCCCAACUGUCUCUCUAUUUCCGAGGCUGGUGGGGAGGGGAACCAUAGGAGAGGCAAUGCAGGCUUUGC